ACAACGAACGCGCUCCUUUAAAGCUCSUCUAAAAACAGACACAUGUAAAAUCGCUUCUAUUUAGUUGAUUUMACUUUAAAACAGGUCACUGGACGCUGCGAGGUCGGAAACAGACAGGGACGCAAACCAAUGACUUGUCAAUUUAUCUUCUAACUUUUAAUGAUUAAAGACACAGCGGCGAUGGAUAAACAGCUGUCAGUCAUAAUGACAGAAAUCACGGAUUUACAGCAGACUUUUUACACGACAGUAUAAGUGGGAAGAUCAUUGGAGUUAAGUAACUUGAUGGCCAAUAGGAGAGUACACUGGUAAAAGCCAUGAAGCAAAUCAACAUGGACCACCUACAGCAUCUUAGAGAAGUUUCUGGAAGAGGUCCGAUUCCAGCUGGCCAAGCUCACGGGAAUGAAAUGAUCUUCUGCUGCAGUUUUGGUGCCAAAUCACAUUAACUGGAUUUUACCGUUCCUGGACUUCAUCACGGAGGAAUUUUGUGCUUGGGUGAUAAAUUUAGAGAGUGUGUAAUUAAUCCGGGCAUUGUUUUGGAUGCUUGGAUUUAAACUGCUUUUACCAAUAAGUGUCUGUUCUGAUAACGAGCGCUUCCCCCAGUGAGAAGUCUUAAUUUAUUCUAACUCUUGUGAGAUUAAACCAAUGCUUUAAAAAUCA